GCCUUGCUAGCUUAGUUGGUAACGCGUCUGCCUUGUAAGCGCUAGGCCGCGGGUUCGAUUCCCGCCAGGGGCG
rnacentral:tRNA from 1 species